rnacentral:snRNA from 1 species
GAGAUGAGGGCAAUCUGGUUGCAACAUCUGUCACCACACUGAUGGCCAGGGUUGAUUUGGCUGAUCUGGCUGGCUAGGGGGGUGUCUCCUUUCUCCCUCAACUGCUCCAUGUAUGCCCCUUCCCAAGCUGCGCACUCAGUCAAAGAGGAGGACCUUCGUUGAUAGAGAUGUACCAUUCUUUGGUCAAGGAUAUACCAGUAGCUGCACUCCCCUAUGAGAAUAAGCUCCCAAGGUCCAUUUGUAGGAUGUAGAAUGUAGAACAAGCUUCCAAGACAACUAGUCU